GGCCAGAUUUGAACUCAGAGAAGUCUUUCUGACUGGCAUUCUAUCCGUUGUGCCACCUACCUGCCCAAUCAUUCAUAUAAGACACAUCUACUGAGCACUAAAUUCAAUUACAAAACCAAGUGCUGGUCUCAUUGCUUCAGUCUUUGUGUUGUAACAGUCUGUGAAAUAGUUGAUCUUGAGCUGAUACGGACAACCCAGAAAAUUACUCAAGAUGGUUUGCAAAACAGCUUUAUAAGUUGGAAUCAAAGAAGAAUAGUGGGGAAAAAACAGCAGGAGUUACAGACUCCUGGACCAAGCUGAUUGAGGAUAUAUGCAUCUAACACUGCCUCUCUCCCCUCUUCUUAUAUUCUGAAAUGAAAACAACCUAUUUUCCAUUUAAUUUCUCUCCCAUCAGGAUGCUGUGACUUUCAGAAACCUUUCUUCUCCUAUCAGAAAAUAAUUGGUGAAGGAUUAGUGAGGGAACUCAGCAAAACAGGGUUGACAAUUGAGCAAAGUAUUGAAUGAAGACCACAGUAAAACAUUAAAGAAGAGAGGUCAUGAGUGGCUUCUUCUGACAAAGAAGCAAAUACAGCUAAAAAUGAGAAGGUUACAUCACUGCUGCUGAAAGACACACACACACACACACACACACACACACACACACACACACAUACACACAGAGAAUUGUGAGGUAAUAUAUAGCUGUUCUCUGGUCUAUUCCAUGCAAAAAGGUUUUACAUUUUUCUCAGAUGGGAAGGGAGGGGCAUGGGGAAGGAAGCACAGUGUCUUUAAAUAAGCAGUUUGUACCAAAUACUUUUUUUCUUUUUUGGCAAAGGAAUUUUGGCAAAAUGCACAAUUUGCUCUUUUUUUUUUUUUUAGUCCACUUUAAGAUGAAUCAAGGUCAGGAGCAAGGAGUUGACUGCGGGGAUGAUACAUGAUUUACAAGAUAGCUGUCACAGCACCUCCUGAUCGGAAAAAGAAGCAAUCCCUGGAAUUGCAAUGUUUAGGAGGACAACAUCAUAGAGGCUAUUGCAUCAAACUGUUCAUAUACAGAAGAAGUAUCAUCCUGCAACUUAGAAGUUGGACCCCACUAACAUAGAGCAAGGAUCUUCAACGACUUCUGGUUUAGGACUAUGACUCUAUAGAUUUGAUGAUGAUUAUCAUCAAUUCAUAACAGGAGAAACUGGAGAAGUGGUUAUAUGUGUAGCCAGACGACAAUACAAACAUAAUAUGGAUGAAAUAUGUGCCAUACAUCUAAUUGCAUGCUCAUUGAUUAGUUAUUAUAUUGUUGGAUGUUUCCAUUUUAUCACUUCGCUGAUAAUUGUGUAUUUGCUUAUGUCCUCAUACCAUGCAUUAUGGUAGCUACAACUAUUAGCUACUCCAUCGACCACUGUGUAUUAUGAUGCUUCUCUAACUCAGAAGACAGUCUUCAAGAACUGCUGUGGCCAAUGAAUAUCAUCACUCCUUGGCCAACCUAGUAAUAAACCUCUCCACAUUAGCAAGUCUGGAUCUUGAAUAACAUAAAGCUCAUUACUAGGCCCAAACUCAAAGCCUUUCUAUCCCAAUAUAAGCUGCUGGAAUUAUUCUUGACUGACAUAGCCUUUGAGAAUGCAGGGUCAUUUCCAUGUAAUGUGAGAGUAACAGUGCUGAGGACAGCAGUGCUGUUAGAGGCAACAUUAAUACAGGGAAAGUAUAUGGCUACUCAUAAGGCUAAAUUAGUUUCAUGUGUAGUGAGAGACUGACUUUUUUUGCAGAGCCUACAAGAGCAACUGUUAAAACUCCCAUGCAAUUUGUUGAAUGAUUAACUCAUUCAUUCAUUUAUUCAACAAAUAUUUGCUGUAUGGCUAUUAAGUUCACAGCACUGUGGGGGACAGAAAUGUAAAUGAAGGGUAAGUUCCCACCUCAAAGAGUUUACAAUGUAGCAGAGACAAUAAGACAGUACCAUAAAGUGAUUCAGAAUGUGUUAAGAGUUAAAAAAGAGUUAUAACUAAAUUGCUCUAAUGGUUCAGGUGAAGGAGCUAUCAUAUCUGAUUAAGACAGAUUAGGAAAGGAUACAUGGGAAAGUAUAGUUCAUGAAAAAGGGACCAGACUUGUAGCUUACACCGAAGGCUAGUACUUUGAAAAUUAGUAGUAGAAACAAGCAGGCUUCACAAGUGAAAUUCAACUACAGACCAUAUCUUUCCCACCUAAUAGUUAAGUGAAAGACUGGAGAAUAUAAGGCCUCCCCACAAAAGGCAUCUGAUAUGGUGGAACAAAAUGUUGUGUUUCACAACAAGGAAUCUCCCAUCAGAAUCAUUCAAGAUUCCUCGAAGAAAAGCAGCAGAAAGAACUCUGUUCAAUAAUGAACAUCAGAAAACACAUGAGACAGGAAGACUGUAUGCUCAUCAAAGGU